rnacentral:tRNA from 2 species
GCCUCUGUAGCUCAGUGGUUAGAGCACUGGUCUAGUAAACCAGGGGGCGAGAGUUCGAGUCUCUCCAGAGGCU